rnacentral:lncRNA from 1 species
GGGUAUACUUUCUUCUUUUUUCUAAAAAAUUUUUUUGAUUUUUUUUUAUUUUUUUCUUUUAUUUUUCACCCCCUCUCUUUUUUUUUUAACAUUACAUUUGUAAUGCCCCAGUUUGACUGUUUUGCUGAUUCUUAUGAUACAGCUGAAUGAGCUUCUUUUCGUGCUCAAGAAAAUGGGUAAUCUCGUCAGGAAUCCCCUUCAACAUCAUCUUCCUCUGCCUAAAAUACAAGGAAUUCAAAAUUGGGAGAUGGCGUUGGAUCAUUAUGUUCAAUGGGUUUAGAAAUCCCUGCAUAAUGAUUUUGGAUAAUGAAAAAGCUUUUGAAUUUAAACAAGCAAAU